rnacentral:precursor_RNA from 14 species
UGGUAUCAGUAAGAAUUGAUUGGUUAAGACAACUGGUAACAGUAGGAACGCCAGAUAGUUGUGUUUUCUGCUCCUGCUGCUAUCAGUAGUCUUGGCCGAUGUCUUCCCUUAUCACGCUGU